CCAUACCGAUUACGUGCGUGCAUCUAAGAAAUGGAAUUCUUGAGACGCAGUUUAGUUUUCCUCGCAGUACUGGCGAUGGCUACUUUAACAAUCAUUCAGGCUGCUCCUGAACCUGAGCCGAAGUUAUCUUCUGCAAGUUUAGCGUCCUUGGCUGGAUAGAAAAAAAAACGAAAUGAAUUCUGGUGCCUCUUAUCUGGACUUCUGGUUAUGAAACAUGGAACGAUGUCCGAAUAUGUUCUUCUGCCUACCCAAAACACUUUCUGAGGAGAAUAAAAUAAUAAUGCUAACUUCAAAAUUGUUAUUUAGUGCCACUUCACUAAUAAACAAAAUUUUGAGAUUUU